CUCUUAUCCAGAGAGGCGGAGGGACCGGCCCUGCGAAGCCUCGGCAACCUUCCAGUGAUCAAGGAUCAGUGUUCAAUCAUCAGUGCGGUGAUCGGCACUGAAAGAUGAAAACGGAUCACUGAAAACUGAAAAGGUGCCAAAUCCGGCAGUACGGAUUACCUAAACGGUAAUCGGGAAUCUGGAAGAUGAGAG
rnacentral:ncRNA from 2 species